CCUACGGGUGGCAGCAGUGAGGAAUAUUGGUCAAUGGUCGGGAGACUGAACCAGCCAAGCCGCGUGCGGGAGGAAGGUCCAGAGUAUCGUAAACCUCUUUUGUCAGGAAACAAAGUCGGGGACGUGUCCCCUGCUGCGUGUACCUUACGCACAAGCAUAGGCUAACUCCGUGCCAGCAGCCGCGGUAAUACGGGGGAGGCGAGUGUUGUCCGGAUUUAUUGGGUUUAACGGGUGCGCGGUGGGUCUGUUAAGUCAGCGGGAAAAGCCCGGGGCACAACCCCGGCCCGCCGUUGAAACUGGCAGUCUCGAGUUGGAGAGAAGUAGGCGGAAUGCGCGGUGUAGCGGUGAAAUGCAUAGAGAUCGCGCAGAACUCCGAUUGCGAAGGCAGCAUGCCGGAUCCACACUGACGCUGAGGCACGAAAGCGUGGGUAUCGAACAGGAUUAGAUACCCGAGUAGUC
rnacentral:rRNA from 1 species